rnacentral:rRNA from 1 species
AACGAACGCUGGCGGCAGGCUUAACACAUGCAAGUCGAACGGGUGUAGCAAUACAUCAGUGGCAGACGGGUGAGUAACACGUGGGAACCUUCCUAGGGGUACGGAACAACUCAGGGAAACUUGAGCUAAUACCGUAUACGUCCGUGAGGAGAAAGAUUUAUCGCCCUUAGACGGGCCCGCGUCGGAUUAGGUAGUUGGUGGGGUAACGGCCUACCAAGCCUACGAUCCGUAGCUGAUCUUAGAGGAUGAUCAGCCACACUGGGACUGAGACACGGCCCAGACUCCUACGGGAGACAGCAGUGGGGAAUCUUGGACAAUGGGCGCAAGCCUGAUCCAGCCAUGCCGCGUGAGUGAAGAAGGCCUUAGGGUUGUAAAGCUCUUUUACCAGGGACGAUAAUGACGGUACCUGGAGAAUAAGCCCCGGCAAACUUCGUGCCAGCAGCCGCCGUAAAAC